rnacentral:rRNA from 1 species
UGGGGAAUAUUGCACAAUGGGCGCAAGCCUGAUGCAGCCAUGCCGCGUGUAUGAAGAAGGCCUUCGGGUUGUAAAGUACUUUCAGUCGGGAGGAAGGUGUCAAGGUUAAUAACCUUGGCAAUUGACGUUACCGACAGAAGAAGCACCGGCUAACUCCGUGCCAGCAGCCGCGGUAAUACGGAGGGUGCAAGCGUUAAUCGGAAUUACUGGGCGUAAAGCGCACGCAGGCGGUUGAUUGAGUCAGAUGUGAAAUCCCCGGGCUUAACCCGGGAAUUGCAUCUGAUACUGGUCAGCUAGAGUCUUGUAGAGGGGGGUAGAAUUCCAUGUGUAGCGGUGAAAUGCGUAGAGAUGUGGAGGAAUACCGGUGGCGAAGGAGGCCCCCUGGACAAAGACUGACGCUCAGGUGCGAAAGCGUGGGGAGCAAACAGG